rnacentral:rRNA from 1 species
UACGAAGGGGGCUAGCGUUGUUCGGAAUUACUGGGCGUAAAGCGCGCGUAGGCGGCUUUGCAAGCCAGAGGUGAAAUGCCUGAGCUCAACUUAGGAAUUGCCUUUGGGACUGCGAGGCUUCGAGGACUGGAGAGGUGAGUGGAAUUCCCAGUGUAGAGGUGAAAUUCGUAGAUAUUGGGAAGAACACCAGUGGCGAAGGCGGCUCACUGGCCAGUUUCUGACGCUAAAGUGCGAAAGCGUGGGGAUCAAA